rnacentral:rRNA from 1 species
AUUGAACGCUGGCGGCAUGCCUUACACAUGCAAGUCGAACGGCAGCACGGGAGCAAUCCUGGUGGCGAGUGGCGAACGGGUGAGUAAAGUAUCGGAACGUGCCCAGUCGUGGGGGAUAACGUAGCGAAAGUUACGCUAAUACCGCAUACGAUCUAUGGAUGAAAGCGGGGGAUCGCAAGACCUCGCGCGAUUGGAGCGGCCGAUAUCAUAUUAGGUAGUUGGUGGGGUAAAGGCUCACCAAGCCGACGAUCUGUAGCUGGUCUGAGAGGACGACCAGCCACACUGGGACUGAGACACGGCCCAGACUCCUACGGGAGGCAGCAGUGGGGAAUUUUGGACAAUGGGCGAAAGCCUGAUCCAGCCAUGCCGCGUGCAGGAUGAAGGCCUUCGGGUUGUAAACUGCUUUUGUACGGAACGAAGAGGUUUGGCCUAAUAAGCUGAGCUCAUGACGGUACCGUAAGAAUAAGCACCGGCUAACUCGUGCCAGCAGCCGCCGUAA